CGUCUAGCCUGCGCGCAGACUAUAUAAUGACAUAUAUAUAUAUAUAUAUAUAUAUAUAUAUAUAUAUAUAUAUAUAUAUAUAUAUAUAUAUAUAUAUAUAUAUAUAUAUAUAUAUAUAUAUAUGUCAUUAUAUAGUCUGCGCGCAGGCUACAGC